rnacentral:tRNA from 1 species
GCCUUCCUGGUGUAGUGGUCAGCACUUUCGACGCGUAUUCCAGAGAUCCGUGGUUCGAAUCCUGGCGAGGGCA